GUGCUCACUUCAGCAGCACACACGAGAAAACGGAAACAAUUACGGAGAAGAUUAGCGUGGCGCUGCACAGGGACGACACACAAACACGUGAGGCAUUCCGUGUCUUG